rnacentral:antisense_RNA from 2 species
GUGGGAGGGGGCUUGCUCCCGAUGGCGGAGUGUCAGUUGGCCUGUUUGUCAGCUGAUCCACCGCCAUCGGGAGCAAGCCCCCUCCCAC